ensembl:lncRNA
AGGCCUGGCCUCGGACCGCCAAUUACAAAGAAAACCACCAGGACCACUGCCUGGGCGUACGCCGCGAGCUUUCUCCUCCGAGAACGCCGCUGAAGGGCAUGGCGCAGGGCGGUGCACAGCCCAAACACUUCCCGGAGCACGGUGCUGCCGGGACCCCGCGCACGAGGUUCCGGGGUACUAAAUGGCCCACGCUGCUCCAGCUCUUGCCCCGGCUAAUUCUGGCAGGAAUUGCCUCUCCCUCCCCUGAUCCUGAAUGGUCCGUCUUCCAGAAUUUCUUCUGUCUGUAUCCAGCACCCACAGCAAAUGGUGCCAUGAACCAUCCAGAUGCAACACAUGAAAUACAGGGGCCACAAGGGGUCCGUCCUUACCCCCAAGCCCUACACUGAAUCCGUUUCCAUUUCCAACUCCUGUCAAUUCCAACUCCAAGCCCAUAUGCUUCUCCAUCACCCUGCCACCACUCUUCCGUCAAACUCCAGUCUUGUACCCAGGUAAUUUUUCACAAGUGGAAUGAGUUUUAAAAAAUAUAUAUUGACCUACUAGUAAGUCUUUUUUUAAAAAAAGAUUUUAUAUAUUUAUUUGACAGAGAGAGAGAGAGCACAAGCAGGAGGAGCGGCAGGCAAAGGGAGAGGGAGAAGCAGGUUCCCUCUGAGCAGGGAACCUGAUGUGGGGCUUGAUCCCAGGACCCCAGGAUCAUGACCCCAGCCGAAGACAGACACUCAACCGACCGAGCCACCCAGGCGCCCCGAAAAAGUAAAAAAUCUAAUAGGAAAAGUGGCAAAGAAUAUAGUUUUCAGAAGAGAAAAUACAAAUGGCUCUUAAACAUGUGAAAAGAUUCUAAUCUCUCCAGUAAGAGAACUGCAAAUGAAAAUGACUCAGACAUCACUGGCAAAGAUCAAAAGAUUGAUGAUACACGAAGUUGGCAAGUUUGUGGGGGAAACCACCAUCCUCAUGCAUUGCCUGUGGAACAUGAACUGGCACAAUUUUUCUUUUCUUUCUUUUUUUCUUUUUUAAGUUGCUGUAUGCCCAACAUGGGGUUUGAACUCACGAUCCUGAGAUCAAGAAUUGCAUGCUCUACCAACUGAGCCAGCCAGGUAUCCCCAGCUGGUGUGCUUUUUAUGACUAAUUUGGCAAUAUUCAGCAAAUAUUCAACCAAAUUUAAUUAAUUUAUUUAAAUUUUAUUUUAUUUACAUUCAAUUAAUUAACAUAUUGUGUAUUAUUAGUUUUAGAGGUAGAGUUCAGUGAUUCAUCAGUUGUCUAACACCCAGUGUUCAUCACACCAUGUGCCCUCCUUAAUGCCCAUCACCCAGCUACCCCAUCCCCCCACCCUUCUUCCCUACAGCAACCCUCAGUUUGUUUCCUAUUGUUAAGAGUCUCUUUUGGUUUGUCUCCCUUUCUGAUUUCAUCUUGUGUUAUUUUUCCCUCCCUUCCCCUAUGCUGUCCUUCCCCUUGCUGUUUUGUUUUGUUUCUUAAAUUCCACAUAGGAAUGAGAUCAUAUGGUAUUUGUCUUUCUCUGAUUGACUUAUUUCGCUUAGCAUAAUACCAUCUAGUUCUAUCCAUGUUGUUGGAAUCAACGAAAUUUUAUUUUUUAUUUUUCAAAGAUAUUAUUUAUUUGAGAGAGAGAGAGAAUGACAGCACAAGCAGGGGAGCGGCAGGCAGAAGGAGAGGGAGAAACAGACUCCCUGCUUAGCAGGGAGCCCGACAUGGGGCUCGAUCCCAGGACCCUGGGAUCAUGACCUGAGCCAAAGGCAGUCACUUAACCAACUGAGCCACCCAAGCACCCCAACCAAAUUUUAAAUGCACUUAGCUUUCAACCCAGAAACCACUUCUAGAAAUUUAUUCCUAUGACAUGUGCAAUCCUAGGACAUGUGCAGAAUGAAGUAUCAAUAUUUAUUGCAGUAUUUAUACUAGCAAAUAUACUGGAAACAACUUAAAGGUCCACUAAGAGGAAACUUGUUAAAUAAAUUAUGGUCCAUCUAUACAAUGGACACCUUAAUGGACAUACUCUGAAAUGGCCCCCCAUUAUCUCUGCCUCCUGGUACUCAUGCCAAGUGUAAUCCCUUCCCUUUUGGUGUGGGUGGGACAUGUGGCUUCCUUCCAAUAUACAGAAUGGGGCAAAGGUGACUCGGAUGUCACUUCCAUGAUUAUAUCACAUAAGAUAAUGUACAUCUGUCUUGCUAGCAGACUCUCUCCCUUGCUUACUCUGAUAAGGCCUGCUGCUAUGUUGUGAGUUACCUUAUGGAGAGGCAUACACGGCAGGCAACUGAGGGUCGCCUCUCCCCAACAGUCAGCAAGAAACUGAGGGCAUCAGUUCUGCAACCCACAAAGAACUGCAUUCUGCCAACAACUGUGUGAGCAUGAAAGCACAUCUGUCCCCAGUCAAACCUUGAGAUGAGAACACAGCUCCAAGUGACACCUUGACCACAGCCUGUGAGAGACCCUGAUGCAGAGGACCCAACAGGCUGCAUGUGGACUGUUGACCUAGAGAUUUUGAGAUAAGAAAUGUGCUGUUUUCAGCCACGAAGUUUGUUAUGCAGCAAUAGAUAACUGAUGCAGGUAUUAUGCAGCUAUGAGAAGCAUGAUGCCAUUUUGUAUGUUUUGAUAAUGGAAUGAACUCCAAAAUACACUAAGGGGAAAAAGAAGGCAAGGCCAUACGGUGACUAUAAUGGUAUCAUUUGUGUGUAUAUAAACACUUGUCUGUGCAUAGAGUAUGUCUGGUAUCUCUGGAAUGAUACACAAGAUGUUGAUAGCAUUGGUUGCCCUCUUGGUAGGGGAACUCAGUGGCUGCGGACCUUCUGAAUUUUGCUCCAUGUACAAGAAAAUGUAAUUCAGCAAAUUUUAAACCCUUUUGUUCCCAUUGUAGUCAAAAUAAAAUUUAAUUCCUUACAAGGGCCUAAAAGACUCUACAUGACUUGGGCCUUGCCUACUUCUCCAACUUCAACGCAUGCCACUCCUUCUGGCUUUCAUGACACUCCAGCCACUAGAAUAUAAAUUCCUUGAAAGCAGGAAUAUGUCUCUCAUUUACUUUUUGAUCUCUAGCACCUAGCACAGUACAAAACACUCAGUAGGAAUUCAGUGAGUUCUUUUUAACAAAUGAACUUGAUUCCCAAAGUUUUAGGAAAGGUAAAAGAGGGAAUGCCUCGCAGAACACUUGGCACCCAACAGAAGGGGACACAAAUAUGGGAUUUUCCCUUGGUGGAUCACUUGAAGGGCUGUCAUAAAUGGGAGCAGAACCUCAUUAUGUAUUGCUCCAGAGACUAACUGGUAAAAGUCAGAGGAAGAAAAAUAUUAAUUCAGCACUAACUGCCCUAAGAAACAUGGGAAGGGCUGUUUUAUGAAGCAGUGAACACCUCCACACUGCCUAUUUAUUCUGUCAUCAAAACUGUAAAAAAUGACUGUGGCCUGAGUGAUCUGAGAGCCUUUCUAGGAUUCUAAAGUUCUGUGAUUCUGUACAUAGGUGUAUUUUGGGUCCUGUCCUUUUCAUAGUUUUUUUAUGUAUACAAGCAUAUUGUUUUUAUUUCCGACUUCUGAGACCAAAACAAAAAACUGGUACAUUUAUCGACCUUUCUAUAAAGCGAGGAACCUGAACAUGGGACUUCAUCGUGAGAUACUAAUGGCUGUACUGAUUCCAGUUUUUGAGGUUUAUAAGUCUGUUCUCAUCUCAGCUGCCAUUAGCAUAGUUGCCUGCUGCUUUGGAGCAUAAGAAAGGGGAUAGAGGGGGUCACGAGAUUUGCUUUUUACCACAAUCAUGCUGGAAAUGUAAUUUCAUCAAACUACGCGAGAGUAAAACAUCUUUUUCAAAGGCCGUGUAUUACUGGAAUGCUUUUCUGUCCCAGUAACUGCAAACAGCCACCUGGGCUCUAUGUAGGGUGCAUCUCUCUGACACUGAAGUGCUUCCUUUGCAAGGAGCAGCUUUUGGGUGGAAAUCAUUAACAAGGAAACCCGUGCCAGUUUUAGGCUGGAAAGGCAGCGCCUCUGCCCAGUAGCUCCCUUUGGGUUCUGGCUCUACACCGCUGCCUGGGGAAAGACACUGACCAAGAAUACCAAGUCCCUCCCACCUUUCUUUUCUUUUACCUUGUUAAACAUUGGCACACUGCAUACAAAUUAAAGAGCAG